rnacentral:rRNA from 1 species
UACGUAGGGUGCAAGCGUUGUCCGGAAUUAUUGGGCGUAAAGAGCUCGUAGGCGGUCUGUCGCGUCGGCUGUGAAAUCCCGGAGCUCAACUCCGGGUCUGCAGUCGAUACGGGCAAACUGGAGUACUGCAGGGGAGACUGGAAUUCCUGGUGUAGCGGUGAAAUGCGCAGAUAUCAGGAGGAACACCAAUAGCGAAGGCAGCUCGCUGGGACGUUACUGACACUGAGGCGCGAAAGCGUGGGGAGCGAACAGG